rnacentral:rRNA from 1 species
GACAGAGGGUGCAAACGUUGUUCGGAAUUACUGGGCGUAAAGCGCGUGUAGGCAGCUCGGAAAGUCGGGUGUGAAAGCCCUGGGCUUAACCUAGGAAGUGCACUCGAAACUUCCGAGCUUGAGUUCUGGAGAGGAAGGCGGAAUUCUCGGUGUAGAGGUGAAAUUCGUAGAUAUCGAGAGGAACACCGGUGGCGAAGGCGGCCUUCUGGACAGUGACUGACGCUGAGGCGCGAAAGCUAGGGGAGCAAACGGG